UUUUCUUUUUUUUUCCAUUCUCGAGAAUUGGAUUUGGUCAUUCCGAUUUCAAAGGGAUCCCACUAAUCUUUAAUGACUAAUUAACAGUACAACGAUUCCUCCAACGAUUCUGUCUGCUGACCUGCACUAUUUCAGGCUGUCUGAACAGUGUUGGACAAGUGAGUUCAACUAAUCUACCUUGAUGGAAAUCAGGGCCAAGAUGUGAACAAAGAAGCUUUUAUUCAACAUAAUAUGUGCAAGUAUUGCUGUGGAGUAAACUGUCACCAGAACAGGCGAGUGCAGCUUCUGGGAGCCGAGCCAAAAAGCGGAGCCCUGUUUGCAGCUCCUGCUGGCACUUUUACAACAGAGGGGUGAUUGACUCCAUGCCAGCGUACACACUUUGACCUGACCUUGUCGAUGGAUGCAGCACUCUGAGAAAAGCAGGUUUGUUAUUUGGGCUGUAGGACUCCAGUCUCAAGAUGUUUUCUGUAUUGAUUUGAACCUGUCUGGGUAUCUGGAUUUGGAUUGUCUCAGUCUCGGGCAUGGGUCUGACUAAAUAUGGUCUUGGUCUCAACUGAGAGUUAAAAUGAAUUAUCAGGUUGCCUUUCCUUUUUUGACAAGAAUAAUUGUUUUUAUAAAUCAAAAUACCUAAUGACUGGCACAAUUCUUUUCCUCCUUCUCCUCAUGCUCCUCCUCCUCUUCAACGCACAAUGGAAACCAAGUGGUUUCAUUCAGUAGUAAAAGCAUUGCAUGAAAGUGAAGUUGAAGGUUUUCAGUCACAUCCUCGUUGAUGCUGAGAUUUGACCUCACAACCACCUCAUGUGUAGCUCAAAGGCUUAACUAAUGAGCCAUCGCUUCCCUCAACUACUCUGAACUAAUUCUACCACCUCUACCGUUCAAACAACUGAAUAAAAGCAGAAUUUUACUGCUUAACUAAGACACAGAUUUUAACUAGCAUAUAAACUUCAGAGAGCAUUUGUGCUCGCAUAAAUUAGUCGCUAACAUAAAAGGUACGAAAGCAAAUCUGUUCAUUUUCAUUCUCACUCCUGGAUAAAACGACAUAUAUCCCAGUAUACACUGCACAUUCUGGUGUUUACUCUAAACCAGUGCACUGCUAAAACUGCUUACUCAUGCAGUGCAGUAGCACUGCUAAAAACUUAUUAAAUGACAUACUUUGGAUCCCAAUGAUUUUUUUCUUAAUUAAAAACUAAGGUCUUUAAAAACGCAUAGGUGAAUUCUCACAUCCGAAUAAUUGCCAAAGUAAAAGUAGGAAAGUAUACAAUGAAAAACAAAACUGCUCAACUACUCAUUACACAGAAUUUUAAUUAGUUUACAUUUAUAGCAUUAAUCUGUAAUCUUCCACUUCUCUUCAUACAGGGAAUUUCUUUUAUUGGUCCAAUCCCAAAAGGCUAUCUAUUCACUAUAUUCUGCUCUAAUGUAUAAUCUACAAUAAUAAUAUAUCUAUAAUUUCAAUUAUUCAAUCUUCUUUUGUUUGAUUUCGUGUUUAUUCUUAUUUAUUGUGCUGUAACUGAAAUGAAAUAAUAUAUCUUUGCCUUGUUUUAAGACUCUUUUCUAUUCUUAUUUACCUCAUGUUAUUUUUUAUUAAACGUGAUUAUUAUGUUUUCACUUUCCUGAUAUAGACAUCUCGAGUUCUGGCUCAGAACAAGGAAAAUAUCUUUGUUUUAAGCUUUAUUUUUUUAUUAUUAUUAAUUUUCAUUUUGAGUAAAGAGUGGGAUGUAAUUUAAUAUGUAGCACACAAUAUUUCUGAUUUUUCUAUUUCUGGUGCCUCUGACUGCGAGUGACCUUUUUCUCACUACGGUUCAUGGAGAAAGAAUGAAUAUUUUGUGAUUUCAUCUGGCUUACCAAUAUCAGACUGCCAAGAAGGCUGAAAUUGUUCAAAUUUAAAGAAAAUAGGCCUGAUAAGUGAAAAAGUAAUAAAAGAAA